AAAAGUUAACUCAGCCCUUGCAUGCUUUUAAGUUGUAGACAAAGACUGACAGAUAACUACAAAACAUAAAUUCUCUUUUGCAACCCAGAGCUUAUUAUUCAGUAUGAGUUCGGAUACAUAUGAGAAGGCAUGUG
rnacentral:snoRNA from 1 species